AGAGUUUGAUCAUGGCUCAGAUUGAACGCUGGCGGCAGGCCCAACACAUGCAAGUCGAACGGUAACAGGAAGCAGCUUGCUGCUUCGCUGACGAGUGGCGGACGGGUGAGUAAUGUCUGGGAAGCUGCCUGAUGGAGGGGGAUAACUACUGGAAACGGUAGCUAAUACCGCAUAAUGUCGCAAGACCAAAGAGGGGGACCUUCGGGCCUCUUGCCAUCGGAUGUGCCCAGAUGGGAUUAGCUUGUUGGUGGGGUAACGGCUCACCAAGGCGACGAUCCCUAGCUGGUCUGAGAGGAUGACCAGCCACACUGGAACUGAGACACGGUCCAGACUCCUACGGGAGGCAGCAGUGGGGAAUAUUGCACAAUGGGCGCAAGCCUGAUGCAGCUAUGCCGCGUGUAUGAAGAAGGCCUUCGGGUUGUAAAGUACUUUCAGCGGGGAGGAAGGGAGUAAAGUUAAUACCUUUGCUCAUUGACGUUACCCGCAGAAGAAGCACCGGCUAACUCCGUGCCAGCAGCCGCGGUAAUACGGAGGGUGCAAGCGUUAAUCGGAAUUACUGGGCGUAAAGCGCACGCAGGCGGUUUGUUAAGUCAGAUGUGAAAUCCCCGGGCUCAACCUGGGAACUGCAUCUGAUACUGGCAAGCUUGAGUCUCGUAGAGGGGGGUAGAAUUCCAGGUGUAGCGGUGAAAUGCGUAGAGAUCUGGAGGAAUACCGGUGGCGAAGGCGGCCCCCUGGACGAAGACUGACGCUCAGGUGCGAAAGCGUGGGGAGCAAACAGGAUUAGAUACCCUGGUAGUCCACGCCGUAAACGAUGUCGACUUGGAGGUUGUGCCCUUGAGGCGUGGCUUCCGGAGCUAACGCGUUAAGUCGACCGCCUGGGGAGUACGGCCGCAAGGUUAAAACUCAAAUGAAUUGACGGGGGCCCGCACAAGCGGUGGAGCAUGUGGUUUAAUUCGAUGCAACGCGAAGAACCUUACCUGGUCUUGACAUCCACGGAAGUUUUCAGAGAUGAGAAUGUGCCUUCGGGAACCGUGAGACAGGUGCUGCAUGGCUGUCGUCAGCUCGUGUUGUGAAAUGUUGGGUUAAGUCCCGCAACGAGCGCAACCCUUAUCCUUUGUUGCCAGCGGUCCGGCCGGGAACUCAAAGGAGACUGCCAGUGAUAAACUGGAGGAAGGUGGGGAUGACGUCAAGUCAUCAUGGCCCUUACGACCAGGGCUACACACGUGCUACAAUGGCGCAUACAAAGAGAAGCGACCUCGCGAGAGCAAGCGGACCUCAUAAAGUGCGUCGUAGUCCGGAUUGGAGUCUGCAACUCGACUCCAUGAAGUCGGAAUCGCUAGUAAUCGUGGAUCAGAAUGCCACGGUGAAUACGUUCCCGGGCCUUGUACACACCGCCCGUCACACCAUGGGAGUGGGUUGCAAAAGAAGUAGGUAGCUUAACCUUCGGGAGGGCGCUUACCACUUUGUGAUUCAUGACUGGGGUGAAGUCGGAACAAGGUAACCGUAGGGGAACCUGCGGUUG
rnacentral:rRNA from 1 species